ACUCAGCCUGACCGCUUGUCUUUAGAAGGCCUGAUUGGAAGAGUGCACUCUAUUGACUUUCCUCUAACAAUGAAAUUGUGAAAGGUACAUGGGGCGGCUGUGAGACGUGCAGCUAUUGGGUCUCACCGGCACAUCCCUUUUCUUGUAAAGCAAUGAAGCACUUUCUAAGGUGUUGGUACUAGUGCUGGAGGCUGCUGGUGCAUUAGAUGCUGCCCGUCACAUCGGUGGGCUGAGAAACCUUCCUUAAAGACCUGUGAUGUUUUGUAAACCCUGACUGUUCUGGUGGUUGCAAAGUUAGUGUCUGUUUAGUGUUCCCCAUCUCACCGGAAGUGUUUCCUUUUUCUCAUUCAUAGAGGUCCUGUAAUAAAGAGGGAUCCGAACAAGCUCAGAAAGAAAAUGAAUUUCAAGGGGCCGAGGCCAUGGUUCUGGAGAGCGUUAUGUUUGCCAUUCUCGCAGAGAGGUCACUUGGGCCAAAACUCUAUGGCAUCUUUCCCCAAGGCCGACUGGAGCAGUUCAUCCCGAGCCGGCGAUUAGAUACAGAAGAAUUAAGUUUGCCAGAUAUUUCUGCAGAAAUCGCUGAGAAAAUGGCUACGUUUCAUGGUAUGAAAAUGCCAUUCAAUAAGGAACCAAAAUGGCUUUUUGGCACAAUGGAAAAGUAUCUAAAGGAAGUGCUGAGAAUUAAAUUUACUGAGGAAUCCAGAAUUAAAAAGCUCCACAAAUUGCUCAGUUACAAUCUGCCCUUGGAACUGGAAAACCUGAGAUCAUUGCUUGAAUCUACUCCAUCUCCAGUUGUAUUUUGUCAUAAUGACUGUCAAGAAGGUAAUAUCUUGUUGCUGGAAGGCCGAGAGAAUUCUGAAAAACAGA
rnacentral:sRNA from 1 species